UACGGGGGGAGCAAGCGUUGUUCGGAUUUACUGGGCGUAAAGGGCGCGUAGGCGGCGUGACAAGUCACUUGUGAAAUCUCCGGGCUUAACCCGGAGCGGCCAAGUGAUACUGUCGUGCUAGAGUGCGGAAGGGGCUACUGGAAUUCUCGGUGUAGCGGUGAAAUGCGUAGAUAUCGAGAGGAACACCUGCGGCGAAGGCGGGUUGCUGGGCUGACACUGACGCUGAUUGUGCGAAAGCUAGGGGAGCGAACGGG
rnacentral:rRNA from 1 species